rnacentral:rRNA from 1 species
ACGGGAGGCAGCAGUGGGGAAUAUUGGACAAUGGGGGAAACCCUGAUCCAGCGACGCCGCGUGAGUGAAGAAGUAUUUCGGUAUGUAAAGCUCUAUCAGCAAGGAAGAAAAUGACGGUACUUGACUAAGAAGCUCCGGCUAAAUACGUGCCAGCAGCCGCGGUAAUACGUAUGGAGCAAGCGUUAUCCGGAUUUACUGGGUGUAAAGGGAGCGUAGGCGGAAGGCUAAGUCUGAUGUGAAAACCCAGGGCUCAACCUUGGGACUGCAUUGGAAACUGGUUUUCUAGAGUGUCGGAGGGGUAAGUGGAAUUCCUAGUGUAGCGGUGAAAUGCGUAGAUAUUAGGAGGAACACCAGUGGCGAAGGCGGCUUACUGGACGACAACUGACGCUGAGGCUCGAAAGCGUGGGGAGCAAACAGGAUUAGAUACCCUGGUA